UGCUAAUAAUGCAGGAGUGUGACCUUUGGUGGCUGAGGCACUGUGCAUGUUGUGCUCCUUGCCCUCCCUGCUACAAAUGCAAAAGCUUCCCUCUGAGAGGAGGACACACAUCCAACUGUAAUGCAGCGGGGAUUUGGAUGCUGAUCGCAGGUUCACAAGGCUGUUUGAGGUAUGACUGGAUGAAGGAAAUCAGCUGAAGACAUUUUCCCUUGCACCAUGAUAGAGCCAAAUGUGAUUUGUCAUCUAGCCACAGGAUUCACUUGAAUUCUUAGAACAUGAAGAGACAUCCUUCUCUAAUACAAAAACUUGGAUGAAGUCCAGCUUCCCAAAACACCGAAGGGUAUUCAGUUAAACCUGGAAAAGCCCAAGCCCUCUUACGACCUUCUAUUUUAAAGAAUUAUCUGGUUACUAAAGGGAAACGUCUGCAGACAACUUUCUUUGAAAAUUAUGCUAUUGAGCAACAAGCAUAAUAUUGAUAGCUGACUGAUUUAUGUAGUGCCAUUUCCUUGCUUCCGAGUGCUUCAUUGAUUUCGGAUUACAAGAACACACUGCAUUCUUUACCAAAAAUGCAGCCCUCUCUGGAGAGCAAACUGGUCCGUGGGGCAUCAGAAGAAAAGAUUCUGGGGCAGGAAACUGGAGGGGAAUACGAGGGAGUGAGAUUAUUUGUCUGUUGGGAGCUCAAGCGUGGCUGAGACCAGCCCUGAGCAAAGUAGCAAUAAACUGGAGUAAACUGGAGUCAUGGAGGGAUGGAGCCAUGCACUCAUGUUGCCUAGUGCCCACCACUGGGCUCCAGCAUGUCUCUCAGUCCUGCACAUCUCCUCCCAAGGAGCCAGUGAGGGAAACUUCCUGACACUGCCUUGCCCCUUCUUUUCCACAGCAGAACAAAAUGAAAUAAAGCUUGUGAC